AUAUAGAACAUCCAUUGCUAAACUAGUGAGAUUAAGUUUAUGUCAUUAA
rnacentral:guide_RNA from 1 species